UACGGGAGGCAGCAGUGGGGAAUAUUGCACAAUGGGCGAAAGCCUGAUGCAGCUAUGCCGCGUGUAUGAAGAAGGCCUUAGGGUUGUAAAGUACUUUCAUCGGGGAGGAAAAACAAAACUAAUAAUUUUAUUUCUUGACGUUACCCGAAAAAGAAGCACCGGCUAACUCCGUGCCAGCAGCCGCGGUAAUACGGAGGGUGCUAGCGUUAAUCAGAAUUACUGGGCGUAAAGAGCACGUAGGUGGUUUUUUUAAGUCAGAUGUGAAAUCCCUGGGCUUAACCUAGGAACUGCAUUUUGAAACUGAAAUACUAGAGUAUCGUAGAGGGAGGUAGAAUUCUAGGUGUAGCGGUGAAAUGCGUAGAUAUCUGGAGGAAUACCUGUGGCGAAAAGCGGCCUCCUAAAACGAAUAACUGACACUGAGGUGCGAAAAGCGUGGGGAGCAAACAGGGAUUAGAUACC
rnacentral:rRNA from 1 species